AGCCUAACUCUAGCCCUAUCAAGCCUUGACUAAACAAAACUCCAAAACACCCAACAAACAAAACAUUUACCAGCCUAGUAUAGGUGAUAGAAAAGCUCAUCCUGGCGCCAUAGAGACACGUACCGCAAGGGAAAGAUGAAAUAGCAGUGAUAAAUCAAGCGACAAACAGCAAAGCUUAACCCUUGUACCUCUUGCAUCAUGAUUUAGCAAGAACAACCAAGCAAAAUGACACUUUAAGUUUGCCAUCCCGAAACCCGAGUGAGCUACCUACAAGCAGCUAUUUACUGAGCAAACCCGUCUCUGUUGCAAAAGAGUGGGAAGACUUGUUGGUAGAGGUGAAAAGCCAACCGAACCAGGUGAUAGCUGGUUGCCUGCAAAACGAAUCUAAGUUCGCCCUUGAUUCUCCUACAAGGACAUCCCAACCAACCUUUACGAGAUGGAUCAAGGGUAAUUAAAAGGAGGUACAGCUCCUUUUAAAAGGAAACAACCUCUUCUAGCGGAUAAGAUUACCUCAAACGAACUGUGGGCCUUUAAGCAGCCACCAGCAAAGAGUGCGUCAAAGCUCCCAAACCCUAAAAAUUUUUAAACCUCACAACUCCCUUACCCCUAGCAGGCCAACCUAUUUCUGAUAGAAGAACCCAUGCUAAAAUGAGUAACUUGGACCAUUCCUCUGCGGCGUAAGCUUACAUCAACCUAUUAUUAACGGAACUCAAAAUGCCCACUAACCUUAACAAGACCUAACAUUAUCACAUAAACCCGUUAACCCAACCCACGGCACGCCCCAAAGAAACGAUUAAAACCUACGGAAGGAAUUAGGCAAACAUAAGGCCCGACUGUUUACCAAAAACACAGCCUCCAGCAAAACAAGUAUUGAAGGUGAUGCCUGCCCAGUGACAACACGUUCAACGGCCGCGGUAUCCUAACCGUGCGAAGGUAGCGCAAUCAAUUGUCCCAUAAAUCGGGACUUGUAUGAAUGGCUAAACGAGGUCUUAGCUGUCUCCCCUAGGUAAUCAGUGAAAUUGAUCUCCCCGUGCAAAAGCAGGGAUACCAACAUAAGACGAGAAGACCCUGUGGAACUUUAAAAUUAGCAGCCACUCCUACACAAAUUUUCCUCCAUCGGAUCCACCUUCCCCCAAAGGAUCACACUGGCAUGCAUUUUUCGGUUGGGGCGACCUUGGAGCAAAACAAACCCUCCAAAAACAAGACUAUCCCUCUUAACCUAGAUCUACCAAUCAACGUACUAACAGUAACCAGACCCAAUACAAUUGAGCAAUGGACCAAGCUACCCCAGGGAUAACAGCGCAAUCUCCUUCAAGAGUCCCCAUCGACAAGGAGGUUUACGACCUCGAUGUUGGAUCAGGACAUCCUAGUGGUGCAGCCGCUACUAAGGGUUCGUUUGUUCAACGAUUAAUAGUCCUACGUGAUCUGAGUUCAGACCGGAGCAAUCCAGGUCGGUUUCUAUCUAUGAAUAACCCUUUCUAGUACGAAAGGACCGAAAGAGUAGGACCAAUACUACAAGCACGUCCUCGCUUUAAAAAGUGAAUCCAACUAAACUACUAAAAGCUCUACCACACACUAUUAUCCUAGAAAAGGACAG
rnacentral:rRNA from 1 species